rnacentral:rRNA from 1 species
CACAGAGUUAGCCGGUGCUUCUUCUAUGGGUUACGUCAAGACCCCGAGGUGUUAACUCGAGGCUUUUCUUCCCCACCGAAAGGGCUUUACAACCCGCAGGCCUUCUUCACCCACGCGGCGUCGCUGGAUCAGGGUUUCCCCCAUUGUCCAAUAUUCCCCACUGCUGCCUCCCGUAGGAGUCCGGACCGUGUCUCAGUUCCGGUGUGACUGGUCGUCCUCUCAGACCAGUUACGGAUCGUCGCCUUGGUAGGCCGUUACCCUACAACUAGCUAAUCCGACUUGGGCUCAUCUGUUAGCGCCAGGCCUUGCGGUCCCCGGCUUUCCACCGUAGUGCGUAUGCGGUAUUAGCCCGAGUUUCCCCGGGUUGUCCCCCACUAACAGGCAGAUUCCCAAGCGUUACUCACCCGUCCGCCGCUCGCCGCCAGGGUUCGCCCCCGCGCUGCCGCUCGACUUGCAUGUGUUAGGCACGCCGCCAGCGUUCAAUCUGAGCCAGGAUCGAAACUCU